ACGCGGAGAUCCGCUCCGGCGGAUCCGCCUCGGGACAUUCGACACGGCGCACGAGGCGGCGCGGGAGUACGACGCCGUCGCCUGGCGCCUCGGACGCUCCCGCCGGACGAUGAAUUUUCACAACGUCUGGACGCGGGAGCAGGCGGAGCAGCUCGCGCCGCCGUCGCCGGUCAUCACGCGCGAGCAGCAGCACUGCCAACGGGAGCUCGAGCAGCGCCUCCUCAUCGCCGAGCGCGACGAGGCCCUCCGCCUCGAGUGGGCGCGCCAAUUCCCCGAAGACGUCGCCGCCAUGGAAUCCUUCUAGGCGUAGAAGGAGGAGGAGAAGGCGGCGGCGAAGGCGAAGAAAAAGGCGAGCCGCGAGAAGCGCCGGGCGGAGUCCGCGGCGAGGAAGGCGGCGAGGAAGGAGGAGGAGAAGAAAAACGGCGCAGGGCCGUCCACCAUCAUCCUCUCCUCCUCCUUCUCCUUCGAGUGGACUUCGACGCCGGUGUCGGAGACUACUUCGAGUAGCCACUCGUCGGACUACGACUGUGAAUCGAAGUAGGAUUAGACUAGUUUAAAAUAAAAUGUCGCGAUGUAUCGUUGAACUUUUAAUAUAUUUCGUAUUUUCAAUUAAUUUUUCAUAUUUUGUUUGAUCUAUUUUGAAACGAAACGGUCGAACUAGCCAUUCGCGACGCGCCGCGCGCUGCAUAAUGGCGCGCCCGGCGGAGGAGCACUUUUCCCGCCCGAGCACGCGCCGCAAAAUGGCGCUUCCGGUGGGGGAACUUUCACCGCCGCGCGCGGUAUCUGUUUACAGCGCGCUGCAACAUAGGUAUAGCGCGCGGAUAUAUGCCGCGCCUGUUGGAGAUGCUCUUAGGGGUCAACAAGCCACGCUGGUACGUAAUUCUCACACGAAUUUGAUUGCCCACUUCCCAACCCAUCUUCAUUACAUGUGUAUUUGUUCAAAGUACCAUGUGUAUUCUUCAGUACUGCUCCCAAAUCUCCGGUCACUUCCAUAUGCAUUACAUCCCAGUAGUUGUUGGUUUUUAUUACGUAAACAUUCAUGGAUCUGCAAAUUGGAGUUAGUCUUCAGUUACAAUGAGGUGGGCUUGUUACUGAUCCUCACCCAGCAUGUCAGUCUUCGCAGAACUUUUGGUCUAAUCUGCCAUCAAACUUGGAGUGAUCCUAUAUAAUAGGAUUUUUUUUGUUCAUUAUGGUUAUCGCUUGUUAAUUUCUGUAGCAUAAACAAUAUGGGAAUGUGCUAUUUUGGUGUAAUCAUGCGAUGCUAACUAGGCAGAUAAGAAUGUGCUAUUCAGUAACAUUACUGUCACCAGGUGUUUCUUGUAAUGCGUGAGCGGGCAUUGCUGUUAUAGCUGUGAAUCUGUUAUAUACUUUGGGAGAAAUCUGGGAUAAAGGAAGAUGUUGCUUAUGGAUUCAUUUACUAGUUAGUUCUGAUGAGAAUUCUUGCUUGUGCCAAGCACGUAGGUUUCCAGAUUCCUUUUUUUGUGCCUGACAAGUUAUAAAUUUUCAGGAAUCUAACAAUAAAUGGGGGACGGAAGAAUAUGAAUUCAUAGGACUUGGGAGACAAAGAGCAAGAAUCUAGCGGCAAUGUUGCGCAGAUGAGAAAAUGUCAGUUGUUUGUAUUCAUGCUGUACCUAGACUGGUGUCACUUGAGGCCGCUGACAAAUUAACCAUAUUCAUGCCCGGAAAGGAACCUGUAAGCUCAUCAUUUCAUCUCUGUCGGCAGAAGAGCUUGGAAGAUUGUUGGCUCGGAUACAAGCAACAGGAGCUGACAUAGUGAAGAAUAUUAUCAAAUACUUGUGCAUUGCCAAGCUGACAGCGGGAAGCAGAGAUGCAGCGGAGGAUCUGAAGAUGCAGUGCAAUAGUCGAUAUUGGAGCUACCGUCCACACCAAAGGCCUCAGACACCCAAUGGCAGUGGCGCCUUGGCUCUUAUCGGUGGCAGCAGUAGCAGCACCUUCCUACUGGAGAUCAGCUCCCUGGGCAAGUCUCUCCGGCACUGGUUAUCACAAUGCGCCGGAGAAAAUUCUAGUGACAGUCAGAAGAUAAGCUACGGCAUGAGCUAGCGUGCAAGACAGUGACAUAAUUGUGUUGGUUAGCUGUGGUCUUUCCCACGGUAGAUAAGCUAUGGGAGUAAUCAGCGCCAGAAGCAAACUGUAAUUAGUGGAUCUAAAGACUCUUUUCAGAAGCUGGAAUUUCGUGGUACCUGAGUGGAAAUUAUGGUGUUUGUUAUGGUGUUUGCUACGGAAUUCUUACGUUCUAGACAACCGGUUCAGUUCAGUUAGUACUGAAUCCUUCGGUGAACAAUAGAGCAACAUAUGUUUGCCAAAAUAUUAUUAUGCUUUUUCCAAACAACUAAUUGAGUCA